UACGGAGGGUGCUAGCGUUGUUCGGAAUUACUGGGCGUAAAGGGCGCGUAGGCGGCUGUUUGCGUCGGAUGUGAAAGCCCGGGGCUCAACCUCGGAACGGCAUUCGAUACGGGACGGCUGGAGACCGGGAGAGGAGAGUGGAAUAGCCAGUGUAGAGGUGAAAUUCGUAGAUAUUGGCUGGAACACCGGUGGCGAAAGCGGCUCUCUGGCCCGGUUCUGACGCUGAGGCGCGAAAGCGUGGGGAGCAAACAGG
rnacentral:rRNA from 1 species